rnacentral:misc_RNA from 1 species
AAGUCGUAACAAGGUUUCCGUAGGUGAACCUGCGGAAGGAUCAUUACCAAUGGUGUCAGUAGCACCCAAACUUACUACUCACUGAUGUGAACUUGACUGCUUGGCCGGGACUCAAGGAUGCUGGGUGACCAGUGUCACUGGGUCUCAGCCUAUGAUUUCCAACUUGUAUACCAUUCAUGAUAGUACUUGUGGGACUUUGGUUCCCGAGGAAGCAUAAACAACUUUUAGCAACGGAUCUCUAGGCUCUCC